GCCACACAUUCUGCCCGGCAGCCACGGCUCUUGCUCCAUUACCCGACCUGACUCAUCCUCCACGCCUCGGCAUCCUAGCCCCAAGUGCCUGCUGGCCUUCCACCCUGGAGCUCUGUGGACGAGGGACCCACGGGAAGCCAGCACGCAGGCUCUGUGACCCAGGCCAUCACCCACACCAAACCUGAAGAGGAACCAUUCCCUAACCCUCAGCAGAGGCUCAGUCGCACUUGCUCCAGACGACUGCGAUUGACAGCCUCUCCCUCCUGGCUUGGAGCCCAACGGGCACCAAGGAGAGUAAAUCUGUAAAGAAAGCUGUGCUCCCUCAGGUCAAGGGCUCCAUGCUCAACUCUUCAUGGAGCAGGAAACCCACCAUGGGAAGAAGCGCUGGGAUACAAACAAGGACAGAAUCUCCAGGGACAGAGUGCCUUAUGCUUUCAAGAGUUGCUCUCUCUCCUCUGAACCCUCCCCUGCUCCUGAUGUCUAUGAGAGCUUCGAGGAAGACAGCGGAGACGCGGCCAGAGUGACAGAGCACAAAGCCGUCAUCUGGCCCUAACUGUGGGGAACCUGGAUAGAGGCUUUGUGUCCUCUACCUGUGGAAUGGACGUGGACAUGGAGAUCCUGACAUCCUGCUUCCGUGCAGUGCCCACCGGGAAAGGCCUGACUCAAUAAAUACUAGUUCCUUUUUUCUUCCACCCUUCAAA